rnacentral:rRNA from 1 species
AGAACCUUACCUAAGCUUGACAUCCCAAUGACAUCUCCUUAAUCGGAGAGUUCCCUUCGGGGACAUUGGUGACAGGUGGUGCAUGGUUGUCGUCAGCUCGGGUCGUGAGAUGUUGGGUUAAGUCCCGCAACGAGCGCAACCCUUGUCUUUAGUUGCCAUCAUUAAGUUGGGCACUCUAGAGAGACUGCCAGGGAUAACCUGGAGGA